UACGGGGGGAGCAAGCGUUGUUCGGAUUUACUGGGCGUAAAGGGCGCGUAGGCGGUCGUGACAAGUCACUUGUGAAAUCUCCGGGCUUAACUCGGAACGGUCAAGUGAUACUGUCGGACUAGAGUACAAGAAGGGGCAACUGGAAUUCUCGGUGUAGCGGUGAAAUGCGUAGAUAGUCGAGAGGAACACCUGCGGCGAAGGCGGGUUGCUGGGCUGAUACUGACGCUGAGGCGACGGAAAGCCAGGGAGCGAACGGG
rnacentral:rRNA from 1 species